AUGGACAAUGCUGCACAGCCUCU
rnacentral:piRNA from 1 species